rnacentral:rRNA from 3 species
AGACCCGAAACCCGGUGAUCUAGCCAUGGGCAGGUUGAAGGUUGGGUAACACUAACUGGAGGACCGAACCGACUAAUGUUGAAAAAUUAGCGGAUGACCUGUGGCUGGGGGUGAAAGGCCAAUCAAACCGGGAGAUAGCUGGUUCUCCCCGAAAGCUAUUUAGGUAGCGCCUCGUGAAUUCAUCUCCGGGGGUAGAGCACUGUUUCGGCUAGGGGGCCAUCCCGGCUUACCAACCCGAUGCAAACUGCGAAUACCGGAGAAUGUUAUCACGGGAGACACACGGCGGGUGCUAACGUCCGUCGUGAAGAGGGAAACAACCCAGACCGCCAGCUAAGGUCCCAAAGUCAUGGUUAAGUGGGAAACGAUGUGGGAAGGCCCAGACAGCCAGGAUGUUGGCUUAGAAGCAGCCAUCAUUUAAAGAAAGCGUAAUAGCUCACUGGUCGAGUCGGCCUGCGCGGAAGAUGUAACGGGGCUAAACCAUGCACCGAAGCUGCGGCAGCGAACGUAUCACCCAAGACAACUUUACGGAGUUGACGAUUGACGGAGCGAAGCGACGUCAAAGCGUUCAUUAAAGUCGAGUUGGCUUAGGGAUACGUUCGUUGGGUAGGGGAGCGUUCUGUAAGCCUGUGAAGGUGUGUCGUGAGGCAUGCUGGAGGUAUCAGAAGUGCGAAUGCUGACAUAAGUAACGAUAAAGCGGGUGAAAAGCCCGCUCGCCGGAAGACCAAGGGUUCCUGUCCAACGUUAAUCGGGGCAGGGUGAGUCGACCCCUAAGGCGAGGCCGAAAGGCGUAGUCGAUGGGAAACGGGUUAAUAUUCCCGUACUUGGUGUUACUGCGAAGGGGGGACGGAGAAGGCUAUGUUGGCCGGGCGACGGUUGUCCCGGUUUAAGCGUGUAGGUGUGUGUUCCAGGUAAAUCCGGUUCACUUUAACACUGAGGCGUGACGACGAGGCACU